GCCUGGUGGUUCCUUGAGGCUGCUCAUCUGUGCUGAUCAUCAAGGUUGCAUUAAACAGGCAAAUAUAAAUUUCUUCAGUUUAAUGCGUGGGAGUCGCCUACCUUUGUGACCUCCACAGCCCGGCUGGAGAAACAUUC